UGCAGAGCCAGGGCAGGCAGGAAGCCUGCCUUAGCCCCGCUGCACCGCCCACCAGGAGCCACCUGAGCAACUCACCAGCAGGGCUCCAUCGUAUCUUCUCCUCAGCCCAGAUCCAAGGGGAGCAGCAGCUCUCUCUUCCAGCUCCCUGCCCCCACGCAACCCGCUGACCCCCAGGAAGCUCAGUCCAGUCCCAGAGGGUGCCCAUCCCUGCAUCCUGAGCCCUGCAGUCCUUCUCAGCCAGGAUACAGUACCUAGAGGUCUCUCUAAUCAGAAUACCACUGAAAGGAUUCAGAAGCUCCCCAGAUCUCUGAAUUGCUGGAUUUUCCUUUGGAUCUCGGGGAAGACUGUAGCCGUUCUGUCCUUCACCAUGUUGUUGCACCGGACGUCGCACUCAGUCAGGUGCUCCAGGGCACUUUGAGCAUCAUAAAUCAGCCCCGAGCUGAUCUCGCCCACUAGCUGAGCGGCUCUGGAAUCCAGCCUGCUCAGUGGGUACGGCCAGACUCUCACCGGCACAGCGUUUUCACCAGCGACUCCAAGCCGCUUAGGGAGAGUGGAGUAAACUUCCAUGGCAUCUUGACACCUCUCCUCCUCCUGAAAACUUUGGGAUUUUUUCUACCAUCAGUUUCAUGUUUCCCUCUAUCUCUUGCACACUCUCUGAUGAAGAAACUUCCCGAUCAAACACAAAGAAAGCCUGAGCCCCGAACUGCACAGCUGUGAC